GACGAACGCUGGCGGCGUGCUUAACACAUGCAAGUCGAACGGAAAGGCCCUGCUUUUGUGGGGUGCUCGAGUGGCGAACGGGUGUGUAACACGCGAGUAACCCGCCCUUGACUUUGGGAUAACUUCAGGAAACUGGGGCUAAUAUCGGAUAGGAGCUCCUGCUGCAUGGUGGGGGUUGGAAAGUUUCGGCGGUUGGGGAUGGACUGGCGGCUUAUCAGCUUGUUGGUGGGGUAGUGGCUUACCAAGGCUUUGACGGGUAGCCGGCCUGAGAGGGUGACCGGCCACAUGGGGACUAAGAGACGGCCCAGACUCCUACGGGAGGCAGCAGUGGAGAAUAUUGCACAGUGGGCGGAAGCCUGAUGCAGCGACGCCGGGUGCGGGAUGACGGCCUUCGGGUUGUAAACCGCUUUCGCCGGUGACGAAGCGUGAGUGACGGUAAUGGGUAAAGAAGCACCGGCUAACUACGUG
rnacentral:rRNA from 1 species